rnacentral:rRNA from 1 species
AUUGAACGCUGGUGGCGUGCUUAACACAUGCAAGUCGAACGAGAAAGUUUCCUUCGGGGAAUUAGUAAAGUGGCGCAAGGGUGAGUAUCACGUGAAUAAUCUGCCCUCGAGAUCGGGAUAACAUGGUGAAAACUAUGCUAAUACCGGAUAAGACCACAUUUCAUAAGAAAUGCGGUAAAAGGAGUCUCAAUCUUCACUCGAGGAUGAGUUCGCGCAACAUUAGCUUGUUGGUGAGAUAAAAGCUCACCAAGGCUACGAUGGAUAGCCGGCCUGAGAGGGCGAUCGGCCACACUGGAACUGAGACACGGUCCAGACUCCUACGGGAGGCAGCAGUGGGGAAUAUUGCGCAAUGGGCGAAAGCCUGACGCAGCAACACCGUGUGAGCGAUG